rnacentral:rRNA from 1 species
CAGGGAAUUUUGCGCAAUGGGGGAAACCCUGACCGAGCGACGCCGCGUGGAGGAUGAAGGCCCUUGGGUUGUAAACUCCUUUUGUUCGGGAAGAAGUGCGAUCAGGUGAAUAAUCUGGUCGUUUGACGGUACCGGACGAAUAAGCUCCGGCUAACUCCGUGCCAGCAGCCGCGGUAACACGGGGGGAGCAAGCGUUGUUCGGAAUCACUGGGCGUAAAGGGCGUGUAGGCGGUUUGGUAAGUGGGAUGUGAAAUGCUCCGGCUCACCCGGAGAGGUGCAUCCCAUACUGCUAGACUUGAGUACGGGAGAGGAUGGGGGAAUUCCUGGUGUAGCGGUGAAAUGCGUAGAUAUCAGGAGGAACACCGGUGGCGAAGGCGCCCAUCUGGCCCGAUACUGACGCUGAGGCGCGAAAGCUAGGGGAGCAAACAGGAUUAGAUACCCCAGUAGUCCCUGAGCGGGCUGGCAAGGCGCAU